CUAAGUCAUUCCAUCCUUUCACUAAAUGGUAGUAACACUAAGUCAUUCCAUCCUUUCACUAAAUGGUAGUAACACUAAGUCAUUCCAUCCUUUCACUAAAGCUCUAAAGUAACUUUUUAUUGACAGAUGCCUCAUUUAAAUGUUCUGGAUGUUGAUGAAAGGAAAUCCCAUAUAGCCUACUGGCCAGGACUUUGUUAUGACAUCUUCUGAUUGGGUGUCUCAGGUCAGGACUUUGUUAUGGCAUCUUCUGAUUGGAAGUCUCAGGUCAGGACUUUGAUAUGGCAUCUUCUGAUUGGGUGUCUCAGGUCAGGACUUUGAUAUGGCAUCUUCUGAUUGGGUGUCUCAGGUCAGGACUUUGAUAUGGCAUCUUCUGAUUGGGUGUCUCAGGUCAGGACUUUGAUAUGGCAUCUUCUGAUUGGGUGUCUCAGGUCAGGACUUUGUUAUGACAUCUUCUGAUUGGGUGUCUCAGGUCAGGACUGUGUUAUGGCAUCUUCUGAUUGGGUGUCUCAGGUCAGGACUGUGUUAUGACAUCUUCUGAUUGGGUGUCUCAGGUCAGGACUUUGUUAUGACAUCUUCUGAUUGGGUGUCUCAGGUCAGGUCUGAGCCAUGAUCAGAAUGUGUCUCUGUCCAUUUCCAGCCCUGCCAUUUCUACCUGUCCUGAUCUAGUGUUUGACCCCUGACCUCCUCACACCGUCUCACUGUCCAUGUCUGCUUAUAGCUCCCACCUCCACUGUGUUAUAAUGGACCUUAUGCUUGUUAUGUCACCUCUGUAACCAGCUAUCAAACAUACUGACCUUUCUGACCCCGUCCCAUGGCCCUACUUUCUAGAACUAAACAUUUAAAGUCCUCUGAGUUUUGCUUACUGUCCAUUUACUUAUGUAUUAUGUAUUUGUUGUAUAUUGGGGUUGUGCCGCAGAGCAUCAUGGGGGUUUGUAUGUGUUGAGAUGAUCACGUUCCAGAUAAAUGGUUGAACUGA